rnacentral:rRNA from 1 species
UACGAAGGGGGCUAGCGUUGCUCGGAAUCACUGGGCGUAAAGCGCACGUAGGCGGAUUGUUAAGUCAGGGGUGAAAUCCUGGAGCUCAACUCCAGAACUGCCUUUGAUACUGGCGAUCUUGAGUUCGGGAGAGGUGAGUGGAACUGCGAGUGUAGAGGUGAAAUUCGUAGAUAUUCGCAAGAACACCCGUGGCGAAGGCGGCUCACUGGGCUGACCUUGACGCUGAGGCGCGAAGGCGUGGGGAGCGAACGGG